UACAGAGGGCUCAAGCGUUGUUCGGAUUCAUUGGGCGUAAAGGGUGUGUAGGUGGCGCCGUAAGUCUGGUGUGAAAUUUCGGAGCUUAACUCCGAAACUGCAUUCGAUACUGCGGUGCUUGAGGACUGGAGAGGAGACUGGAAUUCAUGGUGUAGCAGUGAAAUGCGUAGAGAUCAUGAGGAAGACCAGUGGCGAAGGCGGGUCUCUGGACAGUUACUGACACUGAGACACGAAGGCCAGGGGAGCAAACGGG
rnacentral:rRNA from 1 species